rnacentral:rRNA from 1 species
AUAGUUACCUGGUUGAUUCUGCCAGUAGUCAUAUGCUUGUCUCAAAGAUUAAGCCAUGCAUGUCUAAGUAUAAGCAAUCUAUACGGUGAAACUGCGAAUGGCUCAUUAAAUCAGUUAUCGUUUAUUUGAUAGUACCUUACUACUUGGAUAACCGUGGUAAUUCUAGAGCUAAUACAUGCUAAAAACCCCGACUUCGGAAGGGGUGUAUUUAUUAGAUAAAAAACCAAUGCCCUUCGGGGCUCCUUGGUGAUUCAUAAUAACUCAACGAAUCGCAUGGCCUUGUGCCGGCGAUGGUUCAUUCAAAUUUCUGCCCUAUCAACUUUCGAUGGUAGGAUAGUGGCCUACCAUGGUUUCAACGGGUAACGGGGAAUUAGGGUUCUAUUCCGGAGAGGGAGCCUGAGAAACGGCUACCACAUCCAAGGAAGGCAGCAGGCGCGCAAAUUACCCAAUCCCGACACGGGGAGGUAGUGACAAUAAAUACUGAUACAGGGCUCUUUUGGGUCUUGUAAUUGGAAUGAGUACAAUUUAAAUCCCUUAACG